rnacentral:rRNA from 1 species
GACGAACGCUGGCGGCGUGCUUAACACAUGCAAGUCGAACGGUGAACCGGGCUUCGGCCCGGGGAUCAGUGGCGAACGGGUGCGUAACACGUGGGCAACCUGCCCCAGACACUGGGAUAACCCCGGGAAACCGGGGCUAAUACCGGAUACUCCGCUCGGACCGCAUGGUCCGAUCGGGAAAGCUCCGACGGUCUGGGAUGGGCCCGCGGCCUAUCAGCUUGUUGGUGGGGUAACGGCCUACCAAGGCGACGACGGGUAGCUGGUCUGAGAGGACGACCAGCCACACUGGAACUGAGAUACGGUCCAGACUCCUACGGGAGGCAGCAGUGGGGAAUCUUGCACAAUGGGCGAAAGCCUGAUGCAGCGACGCCGCGUGGGGGAUGAAGGCCCUCGGGUUGUAAACCCCUUUCGGCAGGGAAGAAGCGCAAGUGACGGUACCUGCAGAAGAAGCUCCGGCUAACUACGUGCCAGCAGCCGCCGUAAGAC